UACGUAGGGUGCGAGCGUUGUCCGGAAUUAUUGGGCGUAAAGAGCUCGUAGGCGGUGUGUCGCGUCGGUCGUGAAAACUUGGGGCUUAACUCUGAGCUUGCGGUCGAUACGGGCAUCACUGGAGUUCGGCAGGGGAGACUGGAAUUCCGUGGUGUAGCGGUGAAAUGCGCAGAUAUCAGGAGGAACACCGGUGGCGAAGGCGGGUCUCUGGGCCGAA
rnacentral:rRNA from 1 species